rnacentral:misc_RNA from 1 species
UCUCCGUUGGUGAACCGGCGGAGGGAUCAUUACAGGACUCGCAAGACUCCUUCACCCUGUGAACCUCACUACAAGCACGUUGCUUCGGCGGGUGUCCCGGCGGGGGUUUUCCCUCGCCGGGGCGCACAGCCCGCCGGCAGCCUACUAUACUCUGUCUCUUUGCGUUGGCAUCUCGAGAAAAAACAAACAAGUUAAAACUUUCAACAACGGAUCUCUUGGUUCUG